UACGGGGGGUGCGAGCGUUGUCCGGAAUCACUGGGCGUAAAGGGCGCGUAGGUGGCUGUGUAAGUCUGCUGUCAAAGAGCGAAGCUCAACUUCGUAAAGGCAGUGGAAACUACACGGCUAGAGUGCGUUCGGGGCAGAGGGAAUUCCUGGUGUAGCGGUGAAAUGCGUUGAGAUCCACAGGAACUCCGGUGGCGAAGGCGGCCCGCUGGACCCCAUCUGACGCUGAGACGCGAAAGCGUGGGGAGCGAACCGG
rnacentral:rRNA from 1 species